UUGGAGGGAGAGCGUGACUUGAGUGUAUAGAUCUAUACGGGAUUAACAACCCCGCACCUGGCUGCUAGCUACAGUCGAACCGAAAGGUUCAAGGGUGACGAAAGUCAUAAAAUGAUAAUGGACUACUUAUUGCCAUAUAUAGUCUAUUGUAUGGUUAUGGAACUCGCAAUUUAGAUAACAGAGAUUUACUUGUUGGUAAUAAUGGAUCUAGUAAACUAAUAACCUUAUGAUUAGUUUACUUUUCACACAAUAGUUUUAUAUACGUGUUAAAACUAACAUACAUUUCAAGGAUAACCAGGUUUUCAGGAAACAUCAUACGAACAUUUUAAGUAUGGUAGAUACUUGUACAUUACAUUCAGAAUCGAUAACCGAUUACAAACUUUUAAGGAAAAUAAGGGAUUUUCCUGCGAUAACAAACUGUACAUAACCAGAUCGUAUAACAAACGGAUAACCAAACUUUGCAUAUAAGAAAAUAUGGGAUUUUCUUGGAUAACCACUUUUUAGAAACCAAAGGAAACUUGUUCAUUUUCAGAAAACAAACCUCUUAUGAACUCACCAGCUUUAUGUUGAUUUUCAAACUGCUUGUAUUCUCAGGUCCACAUUAGAGAGGUACUCGCGAUCUUUUGGAGAAGACAGAGCGUUUUAUCAGACAAUCUUUACUUUUGUUCAAACUAUUGUAUAGAUAAAACAUGUAUCACUUUACUUUCAAACAAAUGUUAUUAUUCCUAUGUAAUGUAAUGUUUUGUGUUUACUAUGCUUACUAUGUAUAUUGGUUGUGAUACUAUACAUGACGUCCUCCGCCUCGGAACGUUUUCGCCAUCGGUUUCGGGGUGUGAUAGAUUGGUAUCAGAGCCCUUGUUUAUAGUGAACUAGUAUACCAAACCUUACAUGGUAUAAGACUAUAAACACUAAGGGGCUGAAGUGCUCUGAACUAAAAGUAUACUUUAAAAUUUAAGUAUUUUCAAAAGUAUACAAGUAUACCUAACCGCCAGAAUUCGUAACCUCGAGUAGAACAAAACAUAAGUAAUUGGGUGUUGUACGUUGCGGUUAAACCUGGGCAAUUAUGUAGUCGUGUCUAGGGUCAAUAUAGCCUGAUCAACUAUAUUCAUUCGAGACAGGGCCAACAUGUGCUUGGGAGUGACUGUGGUGUGCAGCAUCCCUAAAACGUACCUAUUAUCUAAACAAUGAUUCAUCGUUACAGCGAAACAUAAAAUACUAUGGGAGUAUUUUAGCCAGAGCCGAUUACGUUGUAGAAAUUCAUUCCGAGUGGUGCUACUCACUCUUUCCUUAGCGAUAGUUUAUCUGCUUUGAUAACUCUUUCCUGUUUUAUCGCUUAGUAGAUCAUUAUACCUGUCAUAAUGAGAUGUCUCUUGUUCCAUAUCUCUUGAUUCAAUUCAGAGGACUUAUGAUCCUCUCUUUCCUGGCUAUUAUAGAUCAAGAUGCCUCCCAAGAAAAGACCCAGUUCAAAGAACAACAAUAUUCCUCCACCACCACCUCCCUCUCCAUUUGAUCCCGCCAUGUUUCAAGUAGUUGUCAAUGCUGUUGUAGCUGCUACCAUAUCGCAAAUGAACCUUGUUGGUUCGGGCGGGCCAGGAGGUGGUACUCAGCCUCAAAACCAAGAAAGUAGCUAGGGACACCGGAAGGAGUGUUCUUACAAGGAAUUUAUGAACGCGAAACCCACGCCCUUCAAUGGCACUGGAGGUAUCAUUACCCUAACCCGAUGGUUCGAGAAAAUCGAAUCUAUUUUCGAAAUCUAUGCCUGUUCGGAAUUCAAUAAGGUGAAGUUCGCCGCUUGCACCUUCACCGACAAAGCCCUAACUUGGUUGAACGGUUGAGUUAAAUCCUUAACUUUACCUGUGGCCAAUGCUAUGGGUUGGGAGGUCCUGAAAGAGCUUCUGCUUGCGGAGUACUGCCCUCGGGGAGAAAUGCAGAAGCUGGAACAUGAACUCUGGAACCUAAAGAUGAAGGGUUACGAUAUCGCCGCUUAUACCUCCAGAUUCGAUGAUUUGGCACUCCUCUGCCCGGGAAUGGUUACCCCGGAGAGUAAAAAGAUUGAGAGAUUUAUCUGGGGGCUGACCCAGCCAACCAAGGGAAACGUUUUGGCUGCGAAGCCAGACACCUACGACAGCGCCAAAUGCCUGGCGCAGACUUUGAUUGACCAUAGUGGUGACCUUGAAAAAGCGGCCACCACACCUGAGCCGACAAAUAGGAGUGAUGAGAAAAGGAAAUUCUGGAAGAAGAAGAAGGGUCAUUCUUCCCAAGAGUCUUCAAAGAAACAGCAAACCGUGGCAGUCCAUGCUGCUACUACCCCUGCUGCUGUUUCUGCCGUUGGAUCCACAGCCCAAACACCUACCUGUAGGUAUGCUGGUACCCUCCCUCUCUGUGACAAGUGUAAAUUCUACCAUAACCCCGACCCCUGCCGUGAUCUAUCAUGCUCCAACUGCGGUAAAAAAGGGGCAUACGGUUCGAUUCUGCAAAGCCCCAACUCAAUCAACAAAUCAAUCUUCCAGAGCGGGUGUCGGCCAGGCCUGCUACCGAUGUGGGGAAGUAGGGCAUUUCAAGAGGAACUGCCCCAAGGCAGCAAUAGCGGGUAACACUGGGAGAGUCCUAGCUAUGGGACGAGAAGAGGCAGUCGCCGAUCCCAUCGUUGUCUCAAGUACGUUCCUUCUCGACAACUCUUAUGCUAGUAUCCUUUUCGAUUCUGGUGCUGAACGAAGUUUGGUUAGCCAUUCAUUCAAACAUUUUCUUAAACAUAAUCCCCAACCAUUAACUGAAACAUUUACUGUCGAGAUGGCUAACGGUGAGAAAGAAAGCGCUAGCGACAUAUUCAUAGGCUGUACCCUUACCCUGAACGAUCAUUCCUUCCCUAUUGACCUAAUGCCAGUUUCCAUUAAGAGCUUUGAUGUUAUCAUUGGCAUGGAUUGGUUGAGUCCCAAUCAUGUAGAUAUCCUUUGUUACGAAAAAGCCAUCUGUCUCAAUCUCCCCUCUGGUCAAACUCUCAUGAUAUAUGGCGAUAAACUCAGUUGCAAUCUUCGCAUCAUUUCAUGCAUCAAAGGUCAGAAGCUUUUGCAAAAGGAGUGCCAUGCAUUCCUAGCUCAUGUAAUCAAUGAGAAACAGGAAGUUAAAGACCUCGAGAGCAUCCCCGAAGUCUGCAACUUUCCUGAUGUCUUUCCCAAAGAGCUCCCAGGAAUUCCUCCCGAACGUCAAGUCGAGUUUCGCAUUGAUCUAAUUCCUUGAGCAAAUCCUGUAGCCAAAUCACCAUAUCGCUUAGCUCCAGUAGAAAUGCAGGAGUUCUCCAUUCAACUUAAUGAGCUGCUCGACAAAGGGUUCAUCAGACCGAGUUCCUCACCCUGGGAAGCCCCGGUAUUAUUUGUGAAGAAGAAAGAUGGAUCCUUUCGGAUGUGUAUAGACUACCGCGAGCUGAACAAGCUGACAGUCAAAAACCGUUAUCCUCUUCCUCGUAUAGAUGACCUCUUCGAUCAACUUCAGGGAGCCAGUUACUUCUCGAAGAUAGACCUCAGAUCGGAAUAGCAUCAGCUUCGAGUUCACGAGGAUGAUGUUUCCAAGACAGCAUUCAGUACUCUGUAUGGUCACUACCAGUUCGUGGUGAUGCCCUUUGGUUUAACCAAUUCACCGACUGUGUUCAUGGACUUGAUGAACCGGGUGUGUCGUCCUUUCCUGGAAAAAUUCGUCAUCGUUUUCAUUGAUGACACACUUGUCUAUUCCCGAAGCGAAGAAGAUCACAAACUACACUUGAGGUUAGUGUUGGAAACACUUAGAAUGGAGAAGCUAUACGCGAAAUUCUCCAAGUGUGAAUUAUGGAUUCAGAAAGUAGCUUUCCUUGGUCACGUGGUAAGCGAGGAGGGUAUACACGUGGACCCGUCCAAGAUCAAGGUGAUAGAUAAUUGGUCGGCACCAAAGACACCCACAUAAAUCCGUCAAUUCUUGGGUCUCGCUGGCUACUAUCGCAUGUUCAUCCAGAAUUUUUCCAAAAUCGCCAAACCCUAACUACUCUGACACAGAAAGGUGUACCCUUUUGUUGGAGUGAAAAGCAAGAAACUGCAUUCCAAACAUUGAAACGAGCCCUGUGCAGCGCGCCUAUUCUGUCCCUGCCCGAAGGAACAGAGGAUUUCGUUGUCUUCUGCGAUGCAUCUAAUCAGGGUUUAGGCUAUGUGCUUAUGCAGAGAAAAGUUAUUGCUUAUGCCUCGAGACAGCUGAAGGCACACGAAGUUAACCAUACGACUCACGACUUGGAGCUAGGAGUAGUGGUCUUCGCACUGAAGAUUUGGAGACAUUACCUCUACGGAACUAAGUGCACGAUCUUCACUGACCAUAAAAGCCUGCAACACAUCUUCAAUCAGAAAGACUUAAACAUGAGGCAACGGCGAUGGGUAGAGCUACUCAGUGACUACGAGUGUGAAAUCCGCUACCAUCCCAACAAUGUGGUAGCAGAUUACCUUAGUCGAAAGGAGAGUUCAAGGCGCAAGACAAAAACAAUGACGAUGACCAUCCAUUCUCACUUAUCCAUACAGAUCCGAGAAGCCCAGUUGGAAGCCCUAAAACCAGAAAACGUGUUGAACGAAGCCUUGAGAGGAAUGGAGAAGAAACUUGAGAUCAGUGGUGACGGAGUCUACUGUUUCAUGGAUAGAAUCUGGACCCCAAAGUUCGGAGGUUUUAGAGACGUUGUUAUGAACGAAGCUCAAAAGACCAAAUACUUUGUUCACCCAGGUUCAGACAAGAUGUACCUGGAUAUCAAGAAACAAUACUGGUCUCCAAACAUGAAAGCCGAGAUCGCAAACUUUGUGGGCAAGUGUUUGACUUGCACCAAGGUAAAAGUCGAGUACCAGAAACCUUCGGGUCUGCUCCAGCAACCCGAGAUACCUGAGUGGAAAUGGGAGAUGAUUACCAUGGAUUUCAUCACCAAGUUACCCAGGUCUCCGAGUGGGUACGAUACCAUUUGGGUAAUUGUCGAUCGUUUGACAAAAUUCGCUCACUUCCUUCCGAUUAAAGAAUCGUUCAAGAUGGAAAGACUCACGCGAGUCUACAUCCAAGAGAUAGUCCGACUGCACGGUGUACCUGUGUCCAUUAUCUCCGAUCGAGAUAGCAGGUUUACCUCAAGGUUCUGGCAGUCCCUUCAGAAAGCUAUUAGAACUAAGUUGGACAUGAGUACAGCUUACCAUCCUCAGACAGACGGACAGAGUGAGAGAACUAUCCAGACCCUGGAGGACAUGCUGAGAGCAUGUGUCAUUGAUUUCGGAAAGUCGUGGUACACCCAUUUACCCUUGAUCGAGUUCUCGUAUAACAACAGCUAUCACACCAGCAUCAAGGCUGCCCCGUUCGAAUCUCUCUACGGCCGCAAGUGCAGAUCCCCUCUGUAUUGGGCCGAGGUAGGGGACACGCAGCUAGCCAAGAGCCGAGUCCCUAACAGUGCUCUCACUGGUCCUGAAAUCAUCCGCGAAACCACUGAGAAAAUCAUCCAGAUCCGAGAACGGCAGAAAGUUUCACGAGACCGACAGAAGAGUUACGCCGAUAAACAACGGAAACCAUUAGAAUUCCAGGUUAGAGAUUGUGUCCUGUUGAAGGUAUCGCCCUGGAAAGGCAUGGUACGCUUUGGAAAGUGUGGGAAGCUUAACCCGAGGUACAUAGGACCUUUCGAGAUCCUCGCUAGGAUCGAUCCUGUAGCCUACAAACUCUGACUCCUUCAAGACCUUAGCAAUAUCCAUCUAGUCUUCCACGUCUCAGAUCUUAAAAAGUGUCUAUCCGAUGAAACCCUCGUGAUCCCUCUUGACAAGAUCGAGAUCAAUGAAAACCUGAACUUUGUGGAAGAACCCAUCGAAAUCAUGGAUCGAGAUAUCAACUGUACGAAACAAAGUCGCAUCCCGAUAGUGAAGAUUCGCUAGAAUGCCAAGCGGGGACCUGAGUUCACUUGGGAGCGCGAAGACUCGAUGAAACAGAAGUAUCUGCAUCUCUUUUCAAUUCCAUGAUUUGUAUCUUAAUUCUAAAUUUCAGGACGAAAUUCCCUCUAACGGGGGGAUAAUGUGACAACCCAUAAGUUAUUCCGUCAUUGUAACCCGUUUCUGUUAGUAAAGCCUUUACGUUCCAAUUUUUCCGUUAACUUCUUUUUAAAUUAAUAAAAUUGGGACUUCUUAUUUUGACAUCACAAGUGUCGGAACACAUUAGAAACGCGUGAAAACAUCCCAAAUGUUUAUUUGGAAAAUUUAUAGUUUCGACCACGUCGGGUUACAGCAACUUAAUCGGGUACGACCAAAAGCCCCGUUUAACGUCAGUAUCGGGUAAAAUUCCAUCGAGCCUCAAACCCGAACCAUAUAUAAAGUGGAGUGGGCUUCUUUUGAAGCUUUUCCAAUCUCUCUCUCUACUCUCUCUCUCUCUCUAAAAACUCAAGUUUGAUCUAAAAACCACCCAAUUCAAGCUCCAAAUCGGUAAGUUAUCCAUCCUAGCUCAUAGAUUAACAUGUUUAGCUUUCAAAUUCAUCGCAAAAUCAUGAAAUAGGACCAAAAACAUGUUUUUACGGCCCUGGAACACCCUUAGGCCGCAAACACAUAUAGAUGGGGUUUUUGAGCCUCAAAACCCUUCCAAACCACUUUGGGAGCUUAGAUAUGACUUAGGGGCUUACAAUACUGGACUCGGAACACCUAAACCUUAUCAUUUGAGGGGUAAACAAGUGUUUACGUCCCAAGCACAUGCUUGGACCAUAAACACCAUUUCUUAGGCCGUAAACACCUUUUUAGGUGUUAAAAUGCCCCUUAAACACCUCCUAAGCCUUGGAAUAAAGUCUAGAAUCAUCCACCAAUGUGUUAGGGACCUUAAACAUGCAAGAAACCAUCCCUGUAGGAGUUCACAGCCGUAAAGCCCCCAACGAAUGGUUCAUGGGCCGUAAACUCCUAUAAGGUGGUCAAAUGGUGCCCUAACUUCCUUCCAUAGCUUGUACUUUGGACUAGAAACACUUGUGAUUGACCUAGGACCACCAAAACACACUUAGAAUGGGUACAUAAGAGUUUACGGCCAUAAACUCCUAGUUUACUGCCGUAAACUCCUCAAAUGGUCCUUAUGUUGUUCAAGAUCCAUUCCAAUGCCUUAAAAGCCUAACAUCACCCCACAAGAGUUAUAAGACCAUUAAGCACCCACGAACACCCCCACUAUGAGUUUACGGCCGUAAACUCAUGGGGACAUGGUCUUAGGGCCGGAAAAUCCCUUAGGAGUUUACUCUUGAAAAGCAAACUCCAUAUUCAAGCCAUACACACCCUUAGAUGCUACCCGGGUCACUCCUAACACUUGAAAUGAAGUGUUUUCGCGCCUAGGAGUGUACUGUCUUAUCUUAUUAGUGGGUCAAAGUCUAAUUAGAUAUAAAUAUGUAUCUAUUCAUAUUACAUAGGAACCUUGCGUGUUCUCAAGCCCCGAACUGACACUUAGCAUCCAACCGACACACUUCUCGACUGGUGAGUUCAUACCCCUACGUUUUUCCAUGUUUUCAAUGUUUUCAGGGGGAAUACAAGCUAAAGUACCAGAAUAUCUUAUACUUAAAGUUAUUAUUUCAUUUGAAAUGGUACAUAUUUCAUAUACUUUUAACACUGGAAACCGUUUUUAUCCAACUGUUUGACUUGCAGAGUUAGUUUUCAAACUAAUUGCAAACCUGAUUUACAGUGUUAUAUUGUAUGUUUCACCAAUGAUUUUCCACUUCAUUUAUGUUAAAAUCAUUAACCUAGAACAUUAGAACACGUCCUCGGUAACACUCCACAGAGAUACGCGAGUGGAGGACCCCCGUUGUAACCAGAAUCCCAAACAGGAUUUUCCGCAUUAUUAUUUGUAAAUUUGUUAAUCUUAAUAAAUGGAGACACGUCCUCGGAAACACUCCACAGAGAUACGUGAGUGGAGGACCACCCCCGUAACAAGAAUCUCUUAGAGGGAGAGCGUGACUUGAGUGUAUAGAUCUAUAUGGGAUUGACAGCCCCGCACCUAGCUGCUAGCUACAGUCGAACCGAAAGGUUCAAGGGUGACGAAAGUCAUAAAAUGAUAAUGGACUACUUAUUGCCAUAUAUAGUCUAUUGUAUGGUUAUGGAACUCGCAAUUUAGAUAACAGAGAUUUACUUGUUGGUAAUAAUGGAUCUAGUAAACUAAUAACCUUAUGAUUAGUUUACUUUUCACACAAUAGUUUAUACGUGUUAAAACUAACAUACAUUUCAAGGAUAACCAGGUUUUCAGGAAACAUCAUACGAAC
rnacentral:lncRNA from 1 species